GCAGGGCUGGAGGAGAGCCCACAUUUCCACAGCUCGGCUGCGAAAAGGAAGGGGGAGAAGCGAGUGGAGGUGGUUGAGGGCUCAGUGUAGAGAAAUGAAGUUCUUCUUUUAGCAUGUCCUAAAAUUUUCCAUUUGCAGCCGUGGUUUUAAUUAACUUGUAGAGCUUCAGUAUCUUAAUUCUACUGGGGGUUUACAAAGUACAGUAAAACUCAAGCUAUCCAGAAUUCUUGGAGCCACUCUGGAAAACCAAAAUUUAUUUGGAUGAAAAUAUUUGAGAUACAGGAUUUUUUUUAGCUUUUUAAAAAAAAAAAAUCAUUUGGCUGCUUCAGGGCUUAGUUGCACCACGUGGAAUCUCUCGUUGCAAGAUGCAGGCUUCUCUAGUUGUGGCACGUGGGCUUAGCUGCCCUGCAGCCUAUGGGAUCUUAGUUCUCCGACCAGAGAUCGAACCCACGUCCCCUGCAUUGCUAGGCAGAUUCUUAACCACUGGACCACCAAGGGGAGUCCCAGGACUUCUAAUUUUUUAAAAACUUCUUUCAUUAUGGAAAUUAUCAAACAUAUAAAAGUAGAGAUUAGAAUACAAGGAACCCUCACGUCCCUACUACCCAACUUUAACAGUUAUCAACUCAAGGCCAAUUCUCGGCCAUGCACACCCUGUUCCCCUCCUCCCACCCAAGUUCUAGGAGAUUUGGGAGCAAAUCCUAAUGUUAUAUCAAUUCAUCCGUAAAGCUUUAGUAUAUUUCUCCAGAAGACGUAAGACUUUAAAAAGACAUUCUACCACAAUCCCAUUAUUAUUCCUAAAAAUUCUAACAAGAAUCCCUUAAUCAAAUAUCCAUUGAUCAAAUUUCCCCGUCUCAUUUUUCCCGUUACACGGUCCACGCAUUGCAUUUAUUUGCUCUAUCUCUUAAGACUCCCUUUCUAUUUUCACAUAAUUCGUUUCUUUUUUUUUUAUUUUCACAUAAUUUCUUUGUUGAGGAAACCUGGUUGCUCGGAGGCAUGAGCGUUUGGAAUAUGGGAGAGAGCUGAGAAUCAUGACAGCGAGAGCAGGACAGGGAAGGAUGGGGGGCCGGUGAUGGCCAGACAGCAGGGACAGCCAUCCGUGGGAAGGAGCCAGGACACCAGGGCCCAUCCCAGGCAGGGAGGAAAGUCAGAGCUGCUGGGGGUGGCUCAUCCCAGUGAUCCCCCUGAGGCCCUGCAGCCACGGGGACAGAAGGAAGGAGGAAGGAUGGCCAGAGCUCAGGUUGGCAGGAGGUCAGGUUGCCUCAUCAGGCUGGAGGUGAAGGGUGGGGCGGGGCCUGAGAUCAGACCUGGAAGGAACAGGAUGUCUGUGCUGGGGAGGGAGGGAGAGGACAGUGCCAAAACCCCAGGUUCUGGGCCAUCCUGGCUCCUCCCCACCUGGCCCUGGCCCAGGGGCCCCUCCCUAUCCUGCCAGCUGCAAAUCUACCCUGGGGCUCGGAUACUAGAUCCCUUCGCAAUGAGGGUGGUCCGUGGCCUGGGUCCCUUGCUCUGCCUUCUCCUCCUCGUAUUCCUGGACCCCCACAGCCCCGAGGUGGGCCAUCUGCCUCAGCGAAGAUUUGAGUACAAGCUCAGCUUCAAAGGACCGAGGCUGGCAUUGCCUGGGGUUGGAAUACCUUUCUGGAGCCAUCACGGAGAUGCCAUCCCGGGCCUGGAGGAGGUACGGCUGGCCCCAUCCAUGCGGAACCGGAGUGGCGCCGUGUGGAGUACAAACCCCGUCCUCUUCCCUGCCUGGGAGGUGGAGAUACAGAUGAGGGUGACCGGGCCGGGGCGCUGGGGAGCCCAGGGCAUGGCCGUGUGGUACACCCAGGGCAGGGGCCAGGUAGGCCCUGUACUGGGGGCGCCAGACUUGGGGGACGGCAUUGGGAUCCUCUUCGACUCCUCAGCCCAAGAUCCCCAGAACAGCCCUGCCAUCUAUGUGCUGGCCAGAGACAGGCACAUCCUCUACGAGCCGCUUGGGGAUGGAGGCAGCCUGCUGCUGGGCUCCUGCCGCCAGGACUUCCGGAACCGGCCGUACCCCUUCAGAGCACGGAUCACCUACUGGGGGCAAAGGCUGCGUGUCUCCUUGAACAGCGGCCUCACUCCCAGUGACCCAGAUGAGGUCUGUGUCGAUGUGGGGCCCUUGCUUUUGGCCCCUGGAGGUUUCUUUGGGGUCUCGGCGGCCACGAGUAUCCUGGCAGAUGACCAUGACAUCCUGUCCUUCCUGACCUUCAGUCUGUGGGAACCGGUUCCAGAGCCUCCCUCACAGCCCUUCCUGGAGAUGGAGCAGCUCCGCCUGGCAAAGCAGCUGGAAGGGCUGCAGGCAAGGCUGGGCCUGGGCACCAAGGAAGACAUGACUCCAGAGCUGAACUAUGGAGUCUGGGAAGAGGGGGAACAAAGCUUCGGCCUGGAGGAGACACUGCACAGACACAGCCAGAUCCUGCAGGCCCUCCAGGGCCUCUCCAAGCACUUGGUGCAGGCUGAGUGGCAAUGGAAGCAGCAGCUGGGAUCCCCAGGCCACAUCAGGCCUGAAGGAGGCUGGGUGUGUUCUUUACCACUAGUGCCACCUGGGAAGCCCUGGAGGGAAAGGAGGGCAGGGGUGAAAUGCUGCAACUGGCAGGGUGGCAUGGAUCUUCGAGGCAGGGGAGUGAGGUGGGGGCUGGGAGGCUUGGCACAAGCAAAGGCCCACAGAGCCCAUGGCUGGGGCUGGGGAAAGGAGUUGCCAGGUAUUUAGACGCGGAUCUCUAGACAAGUGACAAAAAUAGACUGGGUGCUUAUUUGCAUGUAGCUCCACAUGUGAUCUGAUUCACAUACGCUUGCUUAAUGCUCAGAUGCACCAGAAUCCUCGUUUCCCCUCCACUGCCAUCCUGGCUUCUUCCCCCGGGAAUCACGUCCCAUGGCAGACCCAGCCUGGGGCCUGAGAGCUGAGCUCAGUCAAGAUGUUAGACGCCCGGCAGAAGAGGCCAGCAGCUCCUGUGAGCUGGGCUCUGGCAGCUCGAGGUUUGAAUCGUGUCUUCAGGACAGAGCAGCCGAGGACAGAGCAGCCGAGCCUGGGCUGCUGGAAUAGGACAGAAGGGAGGCACCAGGUCCUCCAAGGCCACGUCUCCCUGAUCCUACCGCCAGGCCCAGGACUCCCCCUGCCAGGCUCCACCCACCCCUGAGAGAGGUGGCUCCCUCUCCAGGUCACUGGGCAAGAUGCCAGCCCAAGCACUGGGAGUUGACUGGCUGGGACCCAGGACUCAGCCAAGGCCAGUGCCCUACUCCGUGGACAGCGGACUCUGCUGCAAGACCUGCAAGAGAUGAG